UUUGAUUCCAUUCUUUCACUGCCACGUGUCCCUUAAACUUCUCCACAUUUACUCCUAACGUCUCUCACACUGAAAGAAAAAUCCAUAAAAAAAAUAAAAAAAAUUCCUUACAAAUCCAUAUAUCUCUCUCUCACGAAUCCACUCAAGGGGAGACACCUCACCCUUAUCUUCUCUCACUCAGACUCCCUCACAGAAAAAACCCUCCGCCUCUCUCAAAAUCCCUCACUCUCCUUCUCCCUGAAAACCGUCCCCUCCGCCUCACAUCACUACUCUCUUUCUCUCUCACAAAACCCUCAAACGCACCUUUCUUUUUCACUCACAACCUCAAUCCCUCCAUCUUCGCCUUCCACCUACUGCCGCCGUGGAUUCACCACCGGCAAAACCCCUUUGCCACCAAAUCUCUCUCCAUCACCACCUCAAAAUAAAUCACAACCACCACAACGUCAACUCCACCAUAAAUUCUCCGUCCGUGCCGGCAACGAUCCGCUUGUCACCGUGAAAACCCACAAAAUCACCGUCAAACCCUUGUUUCGCCGCCUCAUCUCCAACCACCGAUAACUUACCUCAAACCACCACAGUCAAACCCCUCAUCGACCAACCCUACAGCCAUCGCGCAACCCUUUAGCUACCGCAUUUUUCUGCAACAACCUCACACCGCCAUGACGUUUCAUAUCCAGUGAACAACCAUUUGAAGCGAGCUGAAUGGAUUUCUGAGUUCUGGGUUCGAAGUCAAAGACCCCUAAAUACGUUGAUUGGACGAAGGCCUUCAAGAUUGUUGCUGCUGUCACGCCUUGUUUCUACUUCCGUUGAUAUCAUAAUUACGACUGAUGUUGUUGGCACGCAACUUGUUCUAUAUUUAAUUUGAGUCGGCGCAGUAUUUGAGCCAAGCUUCGACUUGUUGAUGUUAGUACAAAAGUAUUAUGAUGUAAAUAUUGUUUUUUUUUUUCAUUUGAAAAUGGCUUGUUCUUUCAAAUUUGAUUAAGAACACAGUGUGGUGCAACC